AUGGACGCCGCCGCGCGCCUUCCCCCACGUCACCGAAAACAAAAUAUUUCGAGCGAGGCGAUGGGUUUCCAGUCAACAGCGCGGUCCGGAUACGAAAAAAGGGACAAAUUACGUACCGUACGCAACAUUCUGCGAUUGAAUGCGAGAGAUCACGUAAAAGGUGUGGCUGUAGGAGGUGGCUCACCAAAAUGGGCAAGGAUGGACAGCUACUCAGAAUCACAUCAAGUAAGAACAAGAGAUAUGGGCAGUCGGAACACGUCUAUAAUGUAGCCUCGCCUCCGUAACCCUCAUCAAUAAACAAAACUGUCCUAUGAUUUCUCAGUUGCUAAAUUCAUAUUCAAACUAAAGCCAUAAUAUUUAUUAAGCAUCCACGAUUCUCCUUGCAGACCUGAUUUGCUGACAGGAGUCUAUCAGCAUGUAAAUAAAAAGGACAAUCAACAUAGGGGCUGAGGCUUAGGAGCCAACAGUGACAAUGAGUGGGACAAGCCUGAGUAGGUGACUGUAACCCAAACAAGACAGACAGCACUAAGAUCCUUAACAGAAUGGCAGUGCUCAGCAAGCUACUUAAAAUAAUGCAACAAACUAAGCUACUGGCUCAGGGAUCUCCAACCUUUUCCAGGAUGAGAGCCACUCAAGAAAAAAGUAAAGUGUCAUGAGGUACCCCUCCCAUUAUGACUAUGUUCAACAUCAAACAACAUUUACCAUUCAAAACACUUUUGAAAAUUUUAUAUAAAAGUAUUGUUUUACCUUCAGUGAGAGACUGUCAU